UACGAGUGCACUUGCGAUUAUUAUGCCA
rnacentral:piRNA from 1 species